rnacentral:rRNA from 1 species
GAUUUCUGGCUUGAAACAUUUUGCCGGCCACGGUUUCAUGUGUUAGUGCUUGAUGUUCUGGCCAUCCUUCCAAUUGCUAUUUGCCUUUUUAUGUGAUUGGUAAGUGGUAUUGGAUCUUUUACUUUGAAAAAAUUAGAGUGUUUCAAGCAGGCUUUAUGCUAUGAAUACAUUAGCAUGGAAUAAUAAUUUAGGACUUCGGUUCUAUUUUGUUGGUUUCUAGGACUGAAGUAAUGAUUGAUAGGGAUAGUUGGGGGUGCUAGUAUUCAGCGGCCAGAGGUGAAAUUCUCGGAUUCGCUGAAGACUAACUUAUGCGAAAGCAUU